rnacentral:rRNA from 1 species
GGAUUAGAUACCCUGGUAGUCCACGCCCUAAACGAUGAGAACUAGACGUUGGGAGAUUUUAUUCUCUUAGUGUCGAAGCUAACGCGUUAAGUUCUCCGCCUGGGGAGUACGGCCGCAAGGUUGAAACUCAAAGGAAUUGACGGGGGCCCGCACAAGCGGUGGAGCAUGUGGUUUAAUUCGAUGCAACGCGAAGAACCUUACCAGCUCUUGACAUCCUCAGAACUUGUUAGAGAUAACUUGGUGCCUUCGGGAACUGAGUGACAGGUGCUGCAUGGCUGUCGUCAGCUCGUGCCG